AUUGCCUACGGGGCGCAGCAGUGGGGGAUACUCCACAAUGGGCGAAAGCCUGAUGGAGCAACGCCGCGUGGGUGAAGAAGGUCUUCGGAUCGUAAAACCCUGUUGUUAGAGAAGAAAGUGCGUGAGAGUAACUGUUCACGUUUCGACGGUAUCUAACCAGAAAGCCACGGCUAACUACGUGCCAGCAGCCGCGGUAAUACGUAAGUGGCAAGCGUUAUCCGGAUUUAUUGGGCGUAAAGGGAACGCAGGCGGUCUUUUAAGUCUGAUGUGAAAGCCUUCGGCUUAACCGGAGUAGUGCAUUGGAA
rnacentral:rRNA from 1 species